UUUAUGAGAGUUUGAUCCUGGCUCAGGACGAACGCUGGCGGCGUGCCUAAUACAUGCAAGUAGAACGCUGAAGUCUGGUGCUUGCACUAGACGGAUGAGUUGCGAACGGGUGAGUAACGCGUAGGUAACCUGCCUCAUAGCGGGGGAUAACUAUUGGAAACGAUAGCUAAUACCGCAUAACAGUAUUUACCGCAUGGUAGAUAUUUGAAAGGAGCAAUUGCUUCACUAUGAGAUGGACCUGCGUUGUAUUAGCUAGUUGGUGAGGUAACGGCUCACCAAGGCUUCGAUACAUAGCCGACCUGAGAGGGUGAUCGGCCACACUGGGACUGAGACACGGCCCAGACUCCUACGGGAGGCAGCAGUAGGGAAUCUUCGGCAAUGGGGGCAACCCUGACCGAGCAACGCCGCGUGAGUGAAGAAGGUUUUCGGAUCGUAAAGCUCUGUUGUAAGGGAAGAACUGUGAGAAGAGUGGAAAGUUUCUCACUUGACGGUAUCUUACCAGAAAGGGACGGCUAACUACGUGCCAGCAGCCGCGGUAAUACGUAGGUCCCGAGCGUUGUCCGGAUUUAUUGGGCGUAAAGCGAGCGCAGGCGGUUUGAUAAGUCUGAAGUAAAAGGCUGUGGCUUAACCAUAGUACGCUUUGGAAACUGUCAAACUUGAGUGCAGAAGGGGAGAGUGGAAUUCCAUGUGUAGCGGUGAAAUGCGUAGAUAUAUGGAGGAACACCGGUGGCGAAAGCGGCUCUCUGGUCUGUAACUGACGCUGAGGCUCGAAAGCGUGGGGAGCGAACAGGAUUAGAUACCCUGGUAGUCCACGCCGUAAACGAUGAGUGCUAGGUGUUGGGUCCUUUCCGGGACUCAGUGCCGCAGCUAACGCAUUAAGCACUCCGCCUGGGGAGUACGACCGCAAGGUUGAAACUCAAAGGAAUUGACGGGGGCCCGCACAAGCGGUGGAGCAUGUGGUUUAAUUCGAAGCAACGCGAAGAACCUUACCAGGUCUUGACAUCCCGAUGACCGCCCUAGAGAUAGGGUUUCUCUUCGGAGCAUCGGUGACAGGUGGUGCAUGGUUGUCGUCAGCUCGUGUCGUGAGAUGUUGGGUUAAGUCCCGCAACGAGCGCAACCCCUAUUGUUAGUUGCCAUCAUUCAGUUGGGCACUCUAGCGAGACUGCCGGUAAUAAACCGGAGGAAGGUGGGGAUGACGUCAAAUCAUCAUGCCCCUUAUGACCUGGGCUACACACGUGCUACAAUGGCUGGUACAACGAGUCGCAAGUCGGUGACGGCAAGCUAAUCUCUUAAAGCCAGUCUCAGUUCGGAUUGUAGGCUGCAACUCGCCUACAUGAAGUCGGAAUCGCUAGUAAUCGCGGAUCAGCACGCCGCGGUGAAUACGUUCCCGGGCCUUGUACACACCGCCCGUCACACCACGAGAGUUUGUAACACCCGAAGUCGGUGAGGUAACCUUUUAGGAGCCAGCCGCCUAAGGUGGGAUAGAUGAUUGGGGUGAAGUCGUAACAAGGUAGCCGUAUCGGAAGGUGCGGCUGGAUCACCUCCUUUCUAAGGAA
rnacentral:rRNA from 1 species